UACGGAGGGUGCAAACGUUGCUCGGAAUCACUGGGCGUAAAGGGUGCGUAGGCGGGUUUUUAAGUCAGGGGUGAAAUCCUGGAGCUCAACUCCAGAACUGCCUUUGAUACUGAAGAUCUUGAGUUCGGGAGAGGUGAGUGGAACUGCGAGUGUAGAGGUGAAAUUCGUAGAUAUUCGCAAGAACACCAGUGGCGAAGGCGGCUCACUGGCCCGAUACUGACGCUGAGGCACGAAAGCGUGGGGAGCAAACAGG
rnacentral:rRNA from 1 species